AUACGGAGGGUGCAAGCGUUAAUCGGAAUUACUGGGCGUAAAGCGCGCGUAGGCGGCUUGGUCAGUCGGAUGUGAAAGCCCCGGGCUCAACCUGGGAAUGGCUUUCGAUACUGCCAGGCUAGAGUAUGGGAGAGGGAAGUGGAAUUUCCGGUGUAGCGGUGAAAUGCGUAGAUAUCGGAAGGAACACCAGUGGCGAAGGCGACUUCCUGGCCCAAUACUGACGCUGAGGUGCGAAAGCGUGGGGAGCGAACAGGAUUAGAAACCCUAGUAGUCC
rnacentral:rRNA from 1 species